rnacentral:rRNA from 1 species
GACGAACGCUGGCGGCGUGCUUAACACAUGCAAGUCGAACGGAAAGGCCCUGCUUGCGGGUUCCCGAGUGGGGAAACGGGUAGGAAAACGGUGGUUAAUCUGCCCCUAACUUGGGAUUAGCCCGGGAAAACUGGGUCUAUUCCUGAUAGGACCAUGCCGUAGGGGGGGUGGUUGGAAGAAUAGGUUCGGUAAGGGAUGAGGCCGCGGCCUAUCAGCGUGUUGGUGCGGUAAUGGCCUACCAAGGCGUCGACGGGUAGCCGGCCUGAGAGGGUGGACGGCCACAUUGGGACUGAGAUACGGCCCAGACUCCUACGGGAGGCAGCAGUGGGGAAUAUUGCACAAUGGGCGCAAGCCUGAUGCAGCGACGCUGCGUGGGGGAUGACGGCCUUCGGGUUGUAAACUCCUUUCAGCCAUGACGAAGCCCUUGUGGUGACGGUAGUGGUAGAAGAAGCACCGGCUAACUACGUG